rnacentral:misc_RNA from 1 species
CAUAACUUGACUUUAUAAGAGAAGAUUGACAUAUUAAAUAUGUGAAUUGAUUGUGAGCCCUCAGCAUUCAUAUGAAGUGUAUUCUCAAAUUUUCUUGUUUCUGUUAAGAUAAUAUUUAUGACAAAUAUAAUCCAUGAUGACGGUGUCAUUAACUUAUUAGUAAGAUAAAAAUUUGUUAUCAAAAGAGAAGUAAGUUUUCUGGAGUACUUUUCAAAGAGAAGUUAUGGACUAAUUGUUUGCAGAGGUAUUGUGAGUCUUUAUGAAUUAUUUUCUCCAUGCAGGGCUCUAUGAAAUUAACACGAAUACUUCAUAUAAAUGCCUCUAGACAAUAUCAAAUAAGUAUUGAACAAAUUCUAGGAGAAGCUUACCAAUAGCUUCAACUAAGCGCAGAA